CUUAUCCUCGGUAAGCCCUCUGCUGUGGUCUAUGGCUUUUUAUUCCUAUGUGAUUGCUUUUCCUAACUCAUGUAGGGCGAAAAGCCAUGGGCUACUCAGGGGAGGGACUCCACCUUCCAGG
rnacentral:pre_miRNA from 7 species